UUAACUCCUCAUUAGUGAAUAUUCAUCUGUGUGCCCUCUUUCAUGCACAGGAUAUUAGGCGCUAUGGUUUUAAUUCUAUACUUGAGCCUCUAGUAAAUGAUUUGAAAGUGCUUGAGAUUGAAGGGUCCGUGUACCUUCGUAUAAUUUGUUUUUUUGUUUUUGUCUUCUAAACGGAAAAACGAAGAAAGCAUUCAUUUAUCACAUAUUCGACCCUCCUCGUGAGCAUAAAUAAACAAAUCUCGAGUCGUUUUUUUCAUAUUUUUAUUUUCGUUUUAAUCACACUUUGUUCUAAUCCACCAAAAGGAAAAACAAUAAAACCAAAAUGGAUAAACGGCUUGAAUAUUCGAUUUCUACAUGGGCGGGAAUAAAACGCCCCUUUCCGCUGAUUGGUCAACCAAAGAUCAAGCCGCGCCAUCAGUUCUCAGCUCCAGAAUCAGAGCAGAGCAGAAUUGAUUCAAGGGUCAAGUCAUCUUCAUUUAUAUAGCGCUUCUUACAAUACAGAUUGUUUCAAAGCAGCUUCACAGUGAUAAUAGGAAAUUAAUAGACAGCGUUUGUUUUGGCUUUACAGCAGCUAUUAAGUCUAUCGAGCUAAAGUUUUUGAUUGAAUCACUUUCGUUGUAAGAAUCAAUAAUUAUUAACUUAAAUGACGCUUAAAUGACACAUUUUUAACUGAAAACAGAACAGAAACAGAAACUUUUAAUGCGUCUUGCCAUUCAUUACGUGUUUAAGGGUAGACUAUAACAUUUUGAACAAUAAAGCCAGAGAUGAAUAUAUAUUUUUAUAUUUAUUGCCAUCUAUUACCAUCAAAAAAUUAAUUAGUAAAAUAAGCUACACAGCAAAUUCAUCAGUGUUAAAUUUCAAGUGUUAAGCCAAUUUAGAGUAAAGUGUUGAAGUUAUAGUGUAAAAUUUAGAGAAAUUAACACUAUCAGUGUGUUAAAAGCUUGUUUGCUUCAGUGUUAUCACAGAGUUACAGGUAUCCAACACCCCCUGGUGUUAUUUGCAACAUCCGGGCAUUUAUUCAGCGAUCUCGCUGAAAGAUUUUUCCAGACGCCAUUUUCUCGUGCCAUGCGGAGGAUGAGAAACGACAACUGGAACCAACCGGAUCAUGAGACACUACUUUUAAAAUUUUCUUCUUCAGGGUAGAAAGAUAUUGCUGUCAUCCUUAGAAGUUGACUGGUGAUCACCCAUCUACAAUCCUUCCUGAUGAAUCACACACCAUCCUCAGAGUGUUUCCAAGGCUGCUGGACACUAAAGAUCUGAUAGCUCAAGGUUUUAGACUCCUCUUUGGUCCACAAACAGCUGUCAAACUGCUGGAGAAGUGGCCUACAUUCUAUAAGGAAAAGGUGAUCAGAGAAGCAGAGAACCUUGACCUUACUACCACCUCAGUGCUCCAGAGUUUGCUGAAGUCUGCCAGGAAUCAGUAUCAUGAUGAAUCUUCAGAAGAUCACCCAGAGUGGGACAGUGAUAUGACAUAUUUUUUGCUGCUUCUGGAUAUCCUGCCACCACAACAUUUAAAAAAGAAAAAACUGAAGAUCAGCGCAGCUCAGGUCAUGAACCAUCUAGCUGUAUUUCACAAGUGAAUCGGCAGCGUAGAAGAACACUUGGAGAAACUGGAGGGACAUCGCCAGCCAUAUCUCCUUGCUUCAGGAACUCACAUGUGGGCCAUCAGCAGUUACUACGUUGUGAUUGACCCGAUGCUCAUUCCAUGUAAGGGAACCAUGUCGUUGGCAGCCUUUGAUGAACUUUUUAAAGCGCACUUCGUUUUCAGCUCUGAUGAUGCUCUCAGCAACGUGUACACAUUCCUCCAGACAACAGUCUACAGUAUAGAUGUUGACACCACUGAAGAAAGUCCAAAGGUGAAAGAAACUGAGAGCCAAGCUCAUGAACAGGAACUAAGUGUUACGUUUGCAGAGUAUUCCAUAAUGCACCUGUCAUGUUAUGUGAAGCUUUUGAUGAUACUUGAAACUCUUCGAUUUUUGAUUGUUUUAUGCUUACAGACUGUUUUAUAUUGUACGGCUGCAUCAUAUAGACUGCAAGCAGCAGGUAUGAGCUUUGUUUGUUGAACAAGGUCAUUGUACAGGGUAGUUUGAGUGCCCUGUCCCUGGCUUAAAUGAAAUGUGUAGCUCUGUUAAAGGAAAAAUAAAAUGUAUUCAUUGCA